CUCUUCGAGAAUCCCCCAUUUAAGCGAAAAUCACGCGUUUUCUCUUCGCAAAUCCCCAUUUAAGCGAAAAUCACGCGUUUUCUCUUCGCAGAAUCCCCCAUUUAAGCGAAAAUCACGCGUUUUCUCUUCGCAAAUCCCCCAUUUAAGCGAAAAUCACGCGUUUUCUCUUCGCAGAAUCCCCCAUUUAAGCGAAAAUCCCGCGUUUUCUCUUCGCAAAUCCCCCAUUUAAGCGAAAAUCACGCGUUUUCUCUUCGCAAAUCCCCCAGUUAACCCGAAAAUCACGCGUUUUCUCUUCGCAAAUCCCCCAUUUAAGCAAAAAUCACGCGUUUUCUCUUCGCAAAUCCCCCAUUUAACCCGAAAAUCACGCGUUUUCUCUUCACAAAUCCCCCAUUUAAGCGAAAAUCACGCGUUUUCUCUUCGCAAAUCCCCCAUUUAAGCAAAAAUCACGCGUUUUCUCCUUCGAGAAUCCCCCAUUUAACUUAAAAGUCACGCAUUUUCUCUUCACAAAUCCCCCAUUUAAGCAAAAAUCAUGCGUUUUCUCUUCGAGAAUCCCCCAUUUAACCCGAAAAUCACGCGUUUUCUCUUCGCAAAUCCCCCAUUUAACCCAAAAAUCACGCGUUUUCUCUUCGCAAAUCCCCCAUUUAAGCAAAAAUCACGCGUUUUCUCUUCGCAAAUCCCCCAUUUAAGCGAAAAUCACGCGUUUUCUCUUCGCAAAUCCCCCAUUUAACCCGAAAAUCACACGUUUUCUCUUCGCAAAUCCCCCAUUUAAGCGAAAAUCACGCGUUUUCUCUUCGCAUAAUCCUUCCAUUUAAGCGAAAAUCACGCGUUUUCUCUUCGAGAAUCCCCCAUUUAAGGGAAAAUCACGCAUUUUCUCUUCGCACAUCCCCCAUUUAACUGAAAAUCACGCGUUUUCUCUUCGCACAUCCCCCAUUUAACUGAAAAUCACGCGUUUUCUCUUCGCAAAUCCCCCAUUUAAGUGAAAAUCACGCAUUUUUCUCUUCGCAAAUCCCCCAUUUAAGCGAAAAUCCCGCGUUUUCUCUUCGCAAAUCCCCCAUUUAAGCGAAAAUCACGCGUUUUCUCUUCGCAAAUCCCCCAGUUAACCCGAAAAUCACGCGUUUUCUCUUCGCAAAUCCCCCAUUUAAGCAAAAAUCACGCGUUUUCUCUUCGCAAAUCCCCCAUUUAACCCGAAAAUCACGCGUUUUCUCUUCACAAAUCCCCCAUUUAAGCCGAAAAUCACGCGUUUUCUCUUCGCAAAUCCCCCAUUUAACCAAAAAUCACAUAGUUUUCUCUUCGCAAAUCCCCCAUUUAACCCGAAAAUCACGCGUUUUCUCUUCGCAAAUCCCCCAUUUAACCAAAAAUCACGCAUUUUCUCUUCGAGAAUCCCCCAUUUAACCGAAAAUCACGCGUUUUCUCUUUGCAAAUUCCCCAUUUAAGCAAAAAUCACGUGUUUUCUCUUCGAGAAUCCCCCAUUUAAGCGAAAAUCACGCGUUUUCUCUUCGUAAAUCCCCCAUUUAACUUGAAAAUCAAGCGUUUUCUCUUUGCAAAUCCCCCAUUUAACCCGAAAAUCACGCGUUUUCUCUUCGCAAAUCCCCCAUUUAAGCGAAAAUCACGCGUUUUCUCUUCACAAAUCCCCCAUUUAAGCAAAAAUCACGCGUUUUCUCUUCGCAAAUCCCCCAUUUAAGCAAAAAUCACGCGUUUUCUCUUCGAGAAUCCCCCAUUUAAGUGAAAAUCAAGCGUUUUCUCUUCGCAAAUCCCCCAUUUAACCCGAAAAUCACGCGUUUUCUCUUCGAGAAUCCCCCAUUGAACCCGAAAAACACGCGUUUUCUCUUCGCAAAUCCCCCAUUUAAGCAAAAAUCACGCAUUUUCUCUUCGCAAAUCCCCCAUUUAACCGAAAAUCACGCGUUUUCUCUUCGCAAAUCCCCCAUUUAAGCGAAAAUCAUGCGUUUUCUCUUCGCAAAUCCCCCAUUUAAGCCGAAAAUAACGCGUUUUCUCUUCGAGAAUCCCCCAUUUAACCCAAAAAUCAUGCGUUUUCUCUUCGAGAAUCCCCCAUUUAAGCGAAAAUCACGCGUUUUCUCUUCGCAAAUCCCCCAUUUAACCCGAAAAUCACGCGUUUCCUCUUUAGAAUCCCCACUUUAACUUAAAAAUCACGCAUUUUCUCUUCGCAAAUCCCCCAUUUAAGCAAAAAUCACGCGUUUUCUCUUCGAGAAUUUUCCAUUUAAGGGAAAAUCACGCAUUUUCUCUUUGCAAAUCUCCCAUUUAAGCGAAAAUCACGCGUUUUCUCUUCGCAAAUCCCCCAUUUAACCCGAAAAUCACGCGUUUUCUCUUCGCAAAUCCCCCAUUUAAGCGAAAAAUCACGCGUUUUCUCUUCGCAAAUCCCCCAUUUAAGCGAAAAUCACGCGUUUUCUCUUCGCAAAUCCCCCAUUUAAGAGAACAUCACGCGUUUUCUCUUCGCAAAUCCCCCAUUUAACCCGAAAAUCACGCGUUUUCUCUUCGCAAAUCCCCCAUUUAACCCGAAAAUCAAGCGUUUUCUCUUUGCAAAUCCCCCAUUUAACCCGAAAAUCACGCGUUUUCUCUUCGCAAAUCCCCCAUUUAAGCAAAAAUCACGCGUUUUCUCGUCGCAAAUCCCCCAUUUAAGCAAAAAUCACGCGUUUUCUCUUCGCAAAUCCCCCAUGUUACCCAAAAAUCACGCGUUUUCUCUUCGAGAAUCCCCCAUUUAAGUGAAAAUCACGCGUUUUCUCUUCGCAAAUCCCCCAUUUAACCCGAAAAUCACGCGUUUUCUCUUCGAGAAUCCCCCAUUGAACCCGAAAAACACAAGUUUUCUCUUCGCAAAUCCCCCAUUUAAGCAAAAAUCACGUGUUUUCUCUUCGCAAAUCCCCCAUUUAACCGAAAAUCACGCGUUUUCUCUUCGCAAAUCCCCCAUUUAAGCGAAAAUCACGCGUUUUCUCUUCGCAAAUCCCCCAUUUAAGCGAAAAUCACGCGUUUUCUCUUCACAAAUCCCCCAUUUAAGCAAAAAUCACGCGUUUUCUCUUCGCAAAUCCCCCAUUUAACCUGAAAAUCACGCGUUUUCUCUUCGAGAAUCCCUCAUUUAAGCGAAAAUCACGCGUUUUCUCUUCGCAAAUCCCCCAUUUAACCGAAAAUCACGCGUUUUCUCUUCGAGAAUCCCCCAUUGAACCCGAAAAACACGCGUUUUCUCUUCGCAAAUCCCCCAUUUAAGCAAAAAUCACGCGUUUUCUCUUCGCAAAUCCCCCAUUUAACCGAAAAUCACGCGUUUUCUCUUCCCAAAUCCCCCAUUUAAGCGAAAAUCAUGCGUUUUCUCUUCGCAAAUCCCCCAUUUAAGCCGAAAAUCACGCGUUUUCUCUUCGCAAAUCCCCCAUUUAACCCAAAAAUCAUGCGUUUUCUCUUCGAGAAUCCCCCAUUUAAGCGAAAAUCACGCGUUUUCUCUUCGCAAAUCCCCCAUUUAACCCGAAAAUCACGCGUUUCCUCUUUAGAAUCCCCACUUUAACUUAAAAAUCACGCAUUUUCUCUUCGCAAAUCCCCCAUUUAAGCGAACAUCACGCGUUUUCUCUUCGCAAAUCCCCCAUUUAAGCAAAAAUCACGUGUUUUCUCUUCGCAAAUCCCCCAUUUAACCGAAAAUCACGCGUUUUCUCUUCGCAAAUCCCCCAUUUAAGCGAAAAUCACGCGUUUUCUCUUCGCAAAUCCCCCAUUUAAGCGAAAAUCACGCGUUUUCUCUUCACAAAUCCCCCAUUUAAGCAAAAAUCACGCGUUUUCUCUUCGCAAAUCCCCCAUUUAACCCGAAAAUCACGCGUUUUCUCUUCGAGAAUCCCUCAUUUAAGUGAAAAUCACGCGUUUUCUCUUCGCAAAUCCCCCAUUUAACCCGAAAAUCACGCGUUUUCUCUUCGAGAAUCCCCCAUUGAACCCGAAAAACACGCGUUUUCUCUUCGCAAAUCCCCCAUUUAAGCAAAAAUCACGCGUUUUCUCUUCGCAAAUCCCCCAUUUAACCGAAAAUCACGCGUUUUCUCUUCCCAAAUCCCCCAUUUAAGCGAAAAUCAUGCGUUUUCUCUUCGCAAAUCCCCCAUUUAAGCCGAAAAUAACGCGUUUUCUCUUCGAGAAUCCCCCAUUUAACCCAAAAAUCAUGCGUUUUCUCUUCGAGAAUCCCCCAUUUAAGCGAAAAUCACGCGUUUUCUCUUCGCAAAUCCCCCAUUUAACCCGAAAAUCACGCGUUUCCUCUUUAGAAUCCCCACUUUAACUUAAAAAUCACGCAUUUUCUCUUCGCAAAUCCCCCAUUUAAGCAAAAAUCACGCGUUUUCUCUUCGAGAAUUUUCCAUUUAAGGGAAAAUCACGCAUUUUCUCUUUGCAAAUCUCCCAUUUAAGCGAAAAUCACGCGUUUUCUCUUCGCAAAUCCCCCAUUUAACCCGAAAAUCACGCGUUUUCUCUUCGCAAAUCCCCCAUUUAAGCGAAAAAUCACGCGUUUUCUCUUCGCAAAUCCCCCAUUUAACCGAAAAUCACGCGUUUUCUCUUCCCAAAUCCCCCAUUUAAGCGAACAUCACGCGUUUUCUCUUCGCAAAUCCUCCAUUUAACCCGAAAAUCACGCGUUUUCUCUUCGCAAAUCCCCCUUUUAACCCGAAAAUCAAGCGUUUUCUCUUUGCAAAUCCCCCAUUUAACCCGAAAAUCACGCAUUUUCUCUUCGCAAAUCCCCCAUUUAAGCAAAAAUCACGCGUUUUCUUGUCGCAAAUCCCCCAUUUAAGCAAAAAUCACGCGUUUUCUCUUCGCAAAUCCCCCAUGUUACCCGAAAAUCACGCGUUUUCUCUUCACAAAUCCCCCAUUUAAUUGAAAAUCACGCGUUUUCUCUUCGCAAAUCCCCCAUUUAACCCGAAAAUCACGCGUUUUCUCUUCGAGAAUCCCCCAUUGAACCCGAAAAACACACGUUUUCUCUUCGCAAAUCCCCCAUUUAAGCAAAAAUCACGCGUUUUCUCUUCGCAAAUCCCCCAUUUAACCGAAAAUCACGCGCUUUCUCUUCGCAAAUCCCCCAUUUAAGCGAAAAUCAUGCGUUUUCUCUUUGCAAAUCCCCCAUUUAAGCCGAAAAUAACGCGUUUUCUCUUCGAGAAUCCCCCAUUUAACCCAAAAAUCAUGCGUUUUCUCUUCGAGAAUCCCCCAUUUAAGCGAAAAUCACGCGUUUUCUCUUCGCAAAUCCCCCAUUUAACCCGAAAAUCACGCGUUUCCUCUUUAGAAUCCCCACUUUAACUUAAAAAUCACGCAUUUUCUCUUCGCAAAUCCCCCAUUUAACCCGAAAAUCACGCGUUUUCUCUUCGCAAAUCCCCCAUUUAACCCGAAAAUCACGCAUUUUCUCUUCGAGAAUUUUCCAUUUAAGGGAAAAUCACGCAUUUUCUCUUUGCAAAUCCCCCAUUUAAGCGAAAAAUCACACGUUUUCUCUUCGCAAAUCCCCCAUUUAAGCGAAAAUCACGCGUUUUCUCUUCGCAAAUCCCCCAUUUAAGCGAAAAUCACGCGUAUUCUCUUCGCAAAUCCCCCAUUUUAGCGAAAAUCACUCGUUUUCUCUUCAAGAAUCCCCCAUUUAAGCGAACAUCACGCGUUUUCUCUUCGCAAAUCCCCCAUUUAACCCGAAAAUCACGCGUUUUCUCUUCGCAAAUCCCCCAUUUAACCCGAAAAUCAAGCGUUUUCUCUUCGCAAAUCCCCCAUUUAACCCGAAAAUCACGCGUUUUCUCUUCGCAAAUCCCCCAUUUAAGCAAAAAUCACGCGUUUUCUCGUCGCAAAUCACCCAUUUAAGCAAAAAUCACGCGUUUUCUCUUCGCAAAUCCCCCAUGUUACCCGAAAAUCACGCGUUUUCUCUUCGAGAAUCCCCCAUUUAAGUGAAAAUCACGCGUUUUCUCUUCGCAAAUCCCCCAUUUAACCCGAAAAUCACGCGUUUUCUCUUCGAGAAUCCCCCAUUGAACCCGAAAAACACACGUUUUCUCUUCGCAAAUCCCCCAUUUAAGCAAAAAUCACGCGUUUUCUCUUCGCAAAUCCCCCAUUUAACCGAAAAUCACGCGUUUUCUCUUCGCAAAUCCCCCAUUUAAGCGAAAAUCAUGCGUUUUCUCUUCGCAAAUCCUCAAUUUAAGCCGAAAAUAACGCGUUUUCUCUUCGAGAAUCCCCCAUUUAACCCAAAAAUCAUGCGUUUUCUCUUCGAGAAUCCCCCAUUUAAGCGAAAAUCACGCGUUUUCUCUUCGCAAAUCCCCCAUUUAACCCGAAAAUCACGCGUUUCCUCUUUAGAAUUCCCACUUUAACUUAAAAAUCACGCAUUUUCUCUUCGCAAAUCCCCCAUUUAACCAAAAAUCACGCGUUUUCUCUUCGCAAAUCCCCCAUUUAAGCAAAAAUCACGCGUUUUCUCUUCGAGAAUUUUCCAUUUAAGGGAAAAUCACGCAUUUUCUCUUUGCAAAUCCCCCAUUUAAGCGAACAUCACGCGUUUUCUCUUCGCAAAUCCCCCAUUUAACCCGAAAAUCACGCGUUUUCUCUUCGCAAAUCCCCCAUUUAACCCGAAAACCACGCGUUUUCUCUUCGCAAAUCCCCCAUUUAUGCAAAAAUCACGCGUUUUCUCUUCGAGAAUCCCCCAUUUAACCAAAAAUCACGCGUUUUCUCUUUGCAAAUCCCCCAUUUAAGCAAAAAUCACGCGUUUUCUCGUUGCAAAUCCUAGAUUUAACCCGAAAAUCACGCGUUUUCUCUUUGAGAAUCCCCCAUUUAAGCGAAAAUCACGCGUUUUCUCUUCGCAAAUCCCCCAUUUAAGCGAAAAUCACGCGUUUUCUCUUUGCAAAUCCCCCAUUUAACCCAAAAAUCACGCGUUUUCUCUUCGAGAAUCCCCCAUUUAACCUGAAAAUCACACGUUUUCUCUUCGAGAAUCCCCCAUUUAACCCGAAAAUCACGCGUUUUCUCUUCGCAAAUCCCCCAUUUAAGCAAAAAUCACGCAUUUUCUCUUCGCAAAUCCCCGAUUUAACCCAAAAAUCACGCGUUUUCUCUUCGCACAUCCCCCAUUUAAUCGAAAAUCACGCGUUUUCUCUUCGCAAAUCCCCCAUUUAAGCAAAAAUCACGCAUUUUCUAUUCGAGAAUCCUCCAUUUAAGUGAAAAUCAUGUGUUUUCUCUUCGAGAGUCCCCAUUUAAGCAAAAAUCACGCAUUUUCUCUUCGAGAAUCCUCCAUUUAAGCGAAAAUCACGCGUUUUCUCUUCGAGAGUCCCCAUUUAAGCAAAAAUCACGCAUUUUCUCUUCGAGAAUCCCCCAUUUAAGCGAAAAUCACACAUUUUCUCUUCGAGAAUCCUCCAUUUAACCCGAAAUUCAUGCAUUUUCUCUUUGGAAAUCUUCCUUUUAACCUGAAAAUCACGCCUUUUCUCUUCAAGAAUCCCCCAUUUAUGCAAAAAUCACGCGUUUUCUCUUCGGGAUUCCCCCAUUUAUCCCGAAAAUCACGUGUUUUCUCUUCGUAAAUUCCCCAUUUAUCUUGAAAAUCACGCUUUUUCUCUUCCAGAAUCCCCCCUUUAACCGAAAAUGACGCAUUUUCUCUUCGUAAAUCCCCCAUUUAACUCAAAAAUCACGUGUUUUCUCUUCGCAAAUCCCCCAUUUAUCCCAAAAAUCACGCGUUUUCUCUUCGAGAAUCCCCCAUUUUACUCUAAAAUCACGCGUUUUCUCUUCGCAAAUCCCCCAUUUGAGCGAAAAUCACGCGUUUUCUUAUUGAAAAUCCCCCAUUUUACCUGAAAAUCACAUUUUUUCUCUUCUAGAAUCCCCUUUUUAACCCGAAAAUCACGCGUUUUCUCUUCAAAAGUCUACCAUUUCACCUGGAAAUCAACCAUUUUCUCAUGGUUAGUCCCCC
ensembl:lncRNA